rnacentral:rRNA from 1 species
AGCGAACGCUGGCGGCAGGCCUAAUACAUGCAAGUCGAACGGUCUCUUCGGAGGCAGUGGCGGACGGGUGAGUAACGCGUGGGAACGUGCCCUUUGGUACGGAACAACUGAGGGAAACUUCAGCUAAUACCGUAUGUGCCCUUCGGGGGAAAGAUUUAUCGCCAUUGGAGCGGCCCGCGUUGGAUUAGCUAGUUGGUGGGGUAAUGGCCCACCAAGGCGACGAUCCAUAGCUGGUCUGAGAGGAUGAUCAGCCACACUGGGACUGAGACACGGCCCAGACUCCUACGGGAGGCAGCAGUAGGGAAUCUUGCGCAAUGGGACGAAAGCCUGACGCAGCCAUGCCGCGUGGAUGAUGAAGGUCUUAGGAUUGUAAAAUCCUUUCACCGGUGAAGAAUAAUAGACUUGUAGCCGGAGAAGAGCCCGGCUAACUUCGUGCCAGCAG